UACGUAGGGCGCAAGCGUUAUCCGGAAUUAUUGGGCGUAAAGAGCUCGUAGGCGGUUUGUCGCGUCUGCCGUGAAAGUCUGGGGCUCAACUCCGGAUCUGCGGUGGGUACGGGCAGACUAGAGUGAUGUAGGGGAGACUGGAAUUCCCGGUGUAGCGGUGAAAUGCGCAGAUAUCAGGAGGAACACCGAUGGCGAAGGCAGGUCUCUGGGCAUUAACUGACGCUGAGGAGCGAAAGCAUGGGGAGCGAACAGG
rnacentral:rRNA from 1 species